rnacentral:rRNA from 1 species
AACCUUUACACUGCACGACAGUGCGAUAGGGGGACUCCGAGUGCGAGGGCAUAGAGCCCUCGCUUUUGUACACCGUAAGGUGGUGUACGAAUAAAAACUGGGCAAGACCGGUGCCAGCCGCCGCGGUAAUACCGGCAGUUCGAGUGAUGGCCGAUUUUAUUGGGCCUAAAGCGUUCGUAGCUGGCCGAUCAAGUCUGUCGGGAAAUCUGCUCGCCUAACGAGCAGGCGUCCGGCGGAAACUGAUCGGCUUGGGACCGGAAGACUCGAGGGGUACGUCCGGGGUAGGAGUGAAAUCCUGUAAUCCUGGACGGACCACCGAUGGCGAAAGCACCUCGAGAGCACGGAUCCGACAGUGAGGAACGAAAGCUGGGGUCUCGAACCGGAUUAGAUACCCGGGUAGUCCCAGCUGUCAACGAUGCCCGCUAGGUAUGGCGCAGGCUACGAGCCUGUGCUAUGCCGUAGCGAAGGCGCUAAGCGGGCCGCCUGGGAAGUACGUUCGCAAGAAUGAAACUUAA